rnacentral:rRNA from 1 species
UACGUAGGGUGCGAGCGUUAAUCGGAAUUACUGGGCGUAAAGCGUGCGCAGGCGGUUCGUUAAGUUCGAUGUGAAAGCCCCGGGCUCAACCUGGGAAUUGCAUUGGAAACUGGCAGGCUUGAGUGUGGCAGAGGGGGGUGGAAUUCCACGUGUAGCAGUGAAAUGCGUAGAGAUGUGGAGGAACACCGAUGGCGAAGGCAGCCCCCUGGGCUAGCACUGACGCUCAGGCACGAAAGCGUGGGGAGCAAACAGG